rnacentral:lncRNA from 1 species
AUGGCAGUAGCUGGAACCUCAGAGGUGGAGCUCCUCCAGAAAGCCCUCUUCUUCAAAAUGUUCCCUGUAGCACUGGCGUAUGGCACCCUGAAGUCAUGCAAACAACUCACAUCAUCCUUAUCAAGAGAGAAGGUGCCAUCUGCUGAGCUAAUAGAAACCAGCUGGUUGCUGAGUUCUAUAAAGGGAAGCUUACAUCAAGCUGAAAGCAUACUUAUUCUGGCUGUGCCCAAAGCGUGGGCUCCAUCACCACUGCAAACAACAAGGCCUGAGGAUGUUAUAGCCAAUAUACUGAGUGCACUUCUCAUUGGAUCAGAUCAAGGGAGGUGAUCCUGCCCCUCUGCUCUGCGCUGGUGAGACCUCACCUGGAGAACUGUGUCCAGAUAUGGAGUCCUCAGUACAGGACAGACACGGAGCUGUUGGAGUGCAUCCAGAGGAGGGCCUCAAAAAUGAUACAAGUGAGCAGCCCUCUCCUACAAGGGCAGGCUGAAAGAGCUGUGGCUGCUCCAGGUAGAUUUGAAAGGUUGCUACCUUUUGAUAUCUAAAGGGGGGCUGUAAGAAGGAAGGGGACCGACUCUUUAGCAGGGUUUUUAGCUUUUGAAAUAGGAUAGGCAGAAAUUAUUUCAGACUAAGUGAUUUAGAUUGGAUAUAAGAAAGAAACAUUUCUUAUGAUAGGGUCAGUGAAGCACUGGAACAGGUUGCCCCAAGGUGUGGAGGAGUGGUCUGUAGAGAUAUUCAAGGUCAGACUGGAUGGUGCUCUGAGCAAUCUGAUAUAGCUGUAGAUGUCCCUGUCUGUUGCAAGGGAGUUAGACUAGAUGACCUUUAAAGGUCCCUUCCAACUUAACUCCUAGACUUCCACAUUCAAUUUCCUUCUGCUUAGAAAAUUAUGUUGUUGUAUCAGGUGUCUUUGAGUACUCCAAGUCUCA